UUUAUCAAAGGGCAACUGCCAUGGUCUUAUCUGGGGUUCGAAGAACCCUACUAUUCCAAGUCAAGCAAAGGAGGCUACCCAAGGAUUACCGAGAGCCGGAACGUUACGCUUACACGGUUUUAAGCCUCUAUGGUGUAUGUUUGGAUUAAUCUGUUAUUUUAUCAAGUCUUCAGUUUUAUUAAAGAUGUUUCCCAAAGUGA